rnacentral:rRNA from 1 species
UGGGGAAUUUUGCACAAUGGGGGAAACCCUGAUGCAGCGACGCCGCGUGAUCUAGAAGGCCUUCGGGUUGUAAAAAUCUUUUCUAUGGGAAGAAAAUGACAGUACCAUAGGAAUAAGGACCGGCUAAUUACGUGCCAGCAGCCGCGGUAAUACGUAAGGUCCGAGCGUUGUCCGGAAUCAUUGGGCGUAAAGGGUACGUAGGCGGGUAAGCAAGUUAGAAGUGAAAUCCUAUAGCUCAACUAUAGUAAGCUUUUAAAACUGCUCAUCUUGAUGUAUGGAAGGGAAAGUGGAAUUCCUAGUGUAGCGGUGAAAUGCGCAGAUAUUAGGAGGAAUACCGGUGGCGAAGGCGACUUUCUGGCCAUAACCUGACGCUGAGGUACGAAAGCGUGGGUAGCAAACAGG